GACGAACGCUGGCGGCGUGCUUAACACAUGCAAGUCGAACGGAAAGGCCCUGCUUUUGUGGUGUGCUCGAGUGGCGAACGGGUGUGUAACACGUGUGUAACCUGCCCUUGACUUUGGUAUAACUUCAGGACACUGGGGCUAAUACCGUAUAGGCGCGCCUGCUGCAUGGUGGUGGUUGGAAAGUUUCGGCGGUUGGGGAUGGACUCGCGGCUUAUCCGCUUGUUGGUGGGGUAGUGGCUUACCAAGGCUUUGACGGGUAGCCGGCCUGAGAGGGUGACCGGCAACAUUGGGAAGGUGAGACGGCCCAGACUACGACGGGAGGCAGCAGGGGGGAUUAUUGCACAAUGGGCAGAAGCCUGAUGCAGCAACGCGGCGUGCGGGAUGACGGCCGUCGGGUUGUAAACCGCUUUCGCCUGUGAAGAAGUGUGAGUGACGGUAAUGGGUAAAGAAGCACCGGCUAACUACGUG
rnacentral:rRNA from 1 species